rnacentral:lncRNA from 1 species
AGAAAAUAAAAUGCAUAGGAAGACUUCUUAUUGUUGUCUGCAAAAAGCAUUUUUAUUUAGAUGAACAAAUCUAUUAUGCAACAACUAAACUGACACACUGCCUGCAGUAAGGAAACUUGCAGAAAUAGAACUAAGAUAGGUUGCAAAAUUAUGCCUAUUUUGUAUAACAAAACUUGAUUGUUAGACUCUUGUAGAGAGUUUACAACUUUAUUAUUAAGAAGAACUGACAACAUAGAACUUGAUUUGAAUUGUUUUGAAAUAGAAUCUGCGGAGUGAAGAAUAGAGUCAUCAUGUGACAGUUGCUUGCAGAGACCACCUUCAACUAUCCCCUGUAUCAUCAAGCCAUCUUGUCCUUGAUAAAGCACAUAUUGGAAGAAAAUUCAAUGAUUACAUUAUUAUCUUAAAAAAAACUUAGAUAUACUGAUAAGGUUCUUGGUGAUUUAAAGAAUACAUAAAGUAUUGGUUAAAGACAAAUGUGUGUCUAAAUAGGUAUAAAGAUAAGUGCAUCCAAUUUGUGUAAUAGUAAGAUCUUGACCAUUUCUAACUAAUAACAAUUGAGAGUCAUGAUAAGGCUUACCUUCAGCUAGAUUUUGUACAUUAUUAGUGAGAUGAUGAGUUGCCCUACUGUUUAGGUACUAAUCUUGAUCUCUAACCCCUUCUGAGGUAACCAUAUAAGCAGCUCUUGAGCCUUGAUUCUAAUUUGAAAAAUGACGCUACAUUGGAGAAUUUGGAACAAAAUUCCCAUUGAACAUGUUUCUACAAUCAGCAGCAGAGUGAUUUAUUUGAAAUAAAUUUGACAAGUGAUGUUUCCUUUGCCACUUCCUGCCAAAACUACAAGAGAAUCCAACAUUCCCACUAAAUCCACCAUUUCCAUUAAAUCCAGUAGCGAAUCCACUAUUUCCAUUAAAUCCACUAGAGAAUCCACCAUUUCGAGUAAAAACACCAAGAAAAACACCUCUACCUUGAAUUUUGUUCCCUAUAACCACAUCUGCCAGAUCCAAAACCUCCCUUAUUAUUAUAGUUAUCAUUUCUACUCUUAUUCACAUAAUUUUCAUUCCAAUUUCCUUGAUUAUUAGCAUUCCAUCCAACAUUCUUUCCUGAUCUCUUUUGAUUAUUUCCACCCUGAGCUAAGUUAGCUACAAAGUUCAACGUAGCUUCUUUAGCCACAUUAGAGUAAGCACUUUUAAGUCUAACUUCAUGAGUUAACAACAUAGAAUAUGCCUCAUUAAUGCUCAUUUUAAGAACAUUUGCUUCAAUAUACACCACAACAAUAUAAUAAGGCUGGCCUAAUCCAAAGAUUAAGUGGGUGAUAAAGUCAAAGGGGCUAACUGGACCAUCAUCAACUGCUAAUUCAUCAGUCAUAGACCUCAGUUUACCAAAAUACUCUGUAAUAGACAUAGAUCAUUUGUUAAGAUUGUUAAACAUCUUUAAAUGCAUUUUUUGGCUGCAAUUUUCAUAACCAAACUAUUACUCUAAGCUAGUACAAAGUUCUUAGAAAGUUUUAGAAUUUACCACAAGACUUACGAUCUCAACAUUAAUGGAUGACAAGAGUAAGCUCAAGAGCAUCUGAUCAUACCUUUUCCAAGCAGCAUAUGUAGGAUUUUCAAAGACAAUGGCAUCAAUACUUGCUGAUUCACUAGUUAGAAACUAAUUUAGACAAGCCAACGAUCCAUCAAGAAAAUCUUUUAGUUCAUUUUAGCUUGAAUAGAGGAAAUGAUCUGUGAUUUAUGGUGUAGUUUGAUCUGUCAAGCUUGAUCGAUGUUUUGAAAGUAAAUGACGAAAUUGAAGAUGAAACAUUUGCACUGAAACUUGAAGAAGCCAUAAAGGUGUUGUGACUGGCUCUGAUGCCAAAUCAAAAUUUAUUUUGCUGUUUUGGACUCUUUAGUUGGUAAGAAAAGUGAGAGAAAGCUUGAGAAAAUUUUAUUGUUCAUACAUUCAAUGAAUGAGAUUAAAAGUUUA